rnacentral:rRNA from 1 species
AGCAGCCGCGGUAAUUCCAGCUCCAAUAGCGUAUAUUAAAGUUGCUGCAGUUAAAAAGCUCGUAGUUGAAUUUCGGGACCAUCAUGUCGGUCGUGCCUCGGUACGUACUGGCAUUGUUGGUUUCUACCUUCUGACGAACCAUGAUGUCAUUUAUUUGGUGUCGUGGGAAAUCAGGACUGUUACUUUGAAAAAAUUAGAGUGUUUAAAGCAGGCUCACGCUUGAAUACAUUAGCAUGGAAUAAUGAAAUAGGACGUUUGAUUCUAUUUUGUUGGUUUCUAGGAUCGACGUAAUGAUUAAUAGGGAUAGUUGGGGGCAUUAGUAUUCAAUUGUCAGAGGUGAAAUUCUUGGAUUUAUUGAAGACUAACUACUGCGAAAGCAUUUGCCAAGGAUGUUUUCAUUAAUCAAGAACGAAAGUUAGGGGAUCGAAGACGAUCAGAUACCGUCGUAGUCUUAACCAUAAACUAUGCCGACUAGGGAUCGGAUGAUGUUAAUUUUUAAUGUACUCA